rnacentral:misc_RNA from 1 species
GAUGAAGAACGCAGCGAAAUGCGAUAAGUAAUGUGAAUUGCAGAAUUCAGUGAAUCAUCGAAUCUUUGAACGCAUCUUGCGCUCCUUGGUAUUCUGAGGAGCAUGCCUGUUUGAGUGUCAUUAAAUUCUCAACUACACUGACUUUGAAUUGGUGUGGCUUGGAUUUGGGGGGAAAAUUGUUGUGGGCUUUUUGUAUAGUCUGCUCCCCUGAAAUUGAUUAGCGGUACCUUUGUGGAACUGUCUACAGGUGUGAUAAUUAUCUACAUCUUAGACAUCUGCUGGAAUGCUGCUUUCUAAACCUUACUUGUAUUGACAAUCUUGACCUCAAAUCAGGUAGGACUACCCGCUGAACUUAAGCAUGUCAAUAAGCGGAGGA